CAGUAAGGAAUAUUGGUCAAUGGACGCAAGUCUGAACCAGCCAUGCCGCGUGGAGGAUGACGGUCCUCUGGAUUGUAAACUUCUUUUCUCUGGGACGAAACCCCCGAUUUCCAUCGGGCCUGACGGUACCAGAGGAAUAAGCACCGGCUAACUCCGUGCCAGCAGCCGCGGUAAUACGGAGGGUGCAAGCGUUAUCCGGAUUCACUGGGUUUAAAGGGUGCGUAGGUGGGCAGAUAAGUCAGUGGUGAAAUCUCUGGGCUUAACCCGGAAACUGCCAUUGAUACUAUUUGUCUUGAAUUCUCUGGAGGUAAGCGGAAUAUGUCAUGUAGCGGUGAAAUGCUUAGAUAUGACAUAGAACACCCAUUGCGAAGGCAGCUUACUACGGAGACAUUGACACUGAGGCACGAAAGCGUGGGGAUCAAACAGGAUUAGA
rnacentral:rRNA from 1 species